UACGGAGGGUGCGAGCGUUAAUCGGAAUUACUGGGCGUAAAGCGCACGUAGGUGGCGACGUAAGUCGGGUGUGAAAGCCCCGGGCUCAACCUGGGAAUUGCAUUCGAGACUGCAUUGCUGGAGUACGGAAGAGGAGGGCGGAAUUCCCGGUGUAGCGGUGAAAUGCGUAGAUAUCGGGAGGAACAUCAGUGGCGAAGGCGGCCCUCUGGUCCAGUACUGACACUCAAGUGCGAAAGCGUGGGGAGCGAAAGGG
rnacentral:rRNA from 1 species